UGCGGGAUCGUCUAAUGGCAGGACAGCUGACUCUGGAUCAGCCAGUCUAGGUUCGAAUCCUAGUCCCGCAG
rnacentral:tRNA from 2 species